GAACAGUGAUGGCACUUAUUUCUGUUACGAGUUUCUCAGUGGACUGUGGAUUGACUGAACUAUACCCAUUCCCAUCAUGAUGUAUACCACCAAGGCUCCUCACUACACCUGUGUUCUAAUUAGAGGUGAAAUAAAUGACAUUCAGAACUUCCACUAAGGUACUAUAAGCUUUCGUGGUGACAUGGCAUCUGGUUUCUUUCUACAAGGAAAGUUCAGCACACAGCACAGUCAUUGAUACAUUGGAUUGGUUUGAGGAUCCUACCUGGAGUAGGUAU